rnacentral:tRNA from 1 species
GGGGCUAUGGCUCAGUGGGACAGCAUCUGUUCAACCUGCAGAAGGUCCCAGGUUCAAUCGCUGACAUCUCCG